UCCCACUCACCAAAAGGGCAAGGGAUAUUUCAGCCUUCAUAACUCCUUCUGGCUUGUAUUCGUACACUGUUAUGCCAUUUGGUUUGAGGAAUGCUCCUGCAACAUUUCAACGGCUAAUGAAUCGGGUUGUUUCAGGGCUUACAGGUUGUGCAGUAUACCUAGAUGAUGUUGUGGUGUAUUCUGACACCUGGGAAGAACAUGUACAGCGUAUAGGUGCUCUCUUUGACAGGUUGGUCUGGGCCAACUUGACAGUAAAUCUGGCCAAGUGUGAGUUUGCCAGAGCCACUGUGACCUAUCUUGGGAAGGUGGUGGGUCAAGGCCAGGUUCGACCUGUGGAGGCCAAGGUCAUGGCAGUGCAAAAGUUUCCCCCCCCUACCACCAAGAAAGAGCUGAUGCGUUUCCUAGGGUUGGUAGGCUACUACCGCAGUUUUUGCAAGAACUUUUCAUCUGUGGUUGCACCCUUGACCGACCUCUUGAAAGCUAAAGCUGAAUAUAUUUGGUCUUCAAUGUGUCAAAAUGCAUUUGACAGUGUAAAAGCCUUGUUGUGUUCAGCCCCAGUGCUGGCAGCGCCACGAUUUGAUCAGCCCUUUAAACUUCAUGUAGAUGCCAGCAAUGUGGGUGUUGGGGCCGUCCUGUUGCAGGAGAAUGCGGAGGGUGUAGAGUGUCCUGUGAGCUUCUUCUCAAGAAAAUUUAACAAGCAUCAAUACAACUAUUCAGUGAUUGAGAAGGAGGCUUUGGCACUUGUUUGGGCUCUGCAGCAUUUUGAUGUCUAUGUCGGCUCAGGGUUAUCUCCGCUGACUGUCUUCACUGACCAUAACCCCCUCACCUUCUUGAAGUCACUGCAAAAUCCUAAUCAGAGGCUAAUGAGGUGGGCGCUGUUCCUGCAGCCAUAUAACCUAGACAUCCGACACAUUAAGGGGACUGACAAUGUAAUGGCAGAUGCCCUGUCUCGGGCACCUGUGGACCCUUAGUCUAUUUGUUCAUGCUGUCUCUCAUUUCCAUGUUCUCCUCUGCUCAUCUCUCGGCUCUUCAUUCCCUUAAAAUGCUCCUUUGGUACCAAGGCUGCUGGGUUGGUGAGGAUGGAGGGAUGUGCUGGAGGAUGCAGCCUGGGGGGAGUGCAGUACUGACUGUCAGUUAUUGGCUCCACGCCGCUACAGGUUCUUGGUUCUUGGUUCUUUUUGGCGUCUUCCUUGUACACUCAACAGCAGCACACACAUCUCACUCAUCCAUACACUACAUUCACCACUGAUGCCACUACUCUCCACACCUCAUGCUUUUUGUACAUAUAAUUGUUCAAGUUAUAAUAAAACCUUUUCAUUUAGCACUUUCAA